rnacentral:lncRNA from 1 species
AAAAGAUAGAAACAAACAAAAAUUAAAGACCAAUUUAUAAUUUAGAAAGUUGAGCUUCAAAAAUGAACCAAUGAACAGUAUUGCUUCAAAUUUGAAGUUAUACUGUUCACUGCUUCAUUUUGAAGUAAGAAAUAAAGCACCAUUGGAGCAAAAUUUGCUUCAAAAUGGAGCAAAAAGUGAAAAAUGAAACAUCAUUGGAGAUGGUCUUACUGUGGAAGCUAUGUCCAUCCAGGAAGCACUAAAGACUACUUCCAUGGUGGGUAUGUCAAAUAUCAAGGUUAUGUUGGACUCAAUCGUGCUUGUCUCAGCCCUGCGG